rnacentral:rRNA from 1 species
GAUGAACGCUGGCGGCGUGCCUAAUACAUGCAAGUCGAGCGAACGGACGAGAAGCUUGCUUCUCUGAUGUUAGCGGCGGACGGGUGAGUAACACGUGGAUAACCUACCUAUAAGACUGGGAUAACUUCGGGAAACCGGAGCUAAUACCGGAUAAUAUUUUGAACCGCAUGGUUCAAAAGUGAAAGACGGUCUUGCUGUCACUAAUAGAUGGAUCCGCGCUGCAUUAGCUAGUUGGUAAGGUAACGGCUUACCAAGGCAACGAUGCAUAGCCGACCUGAGAGGGUGAUCGGCCACACUAGAACGGAGACACGGUCCAGACUCCUACGGGAGGCAGCAGUAGGGAAUCUUCCGCAAUGGGCGAAAGCCUGACGGAGAAACGCCGCGUGAGUGAUGAAGGUCUUCGGAUCGUAAAACUCUGUUAUUAGGGAAGAACAUAUGUGUAAGUAACUGUGCAGAUCGUGACGGUACCUAAUCAGAAAGCCACGGCUAACUACGUG